AAAUAGUUAAAUAUUGUGUUUGCAUAUGUCUAAUAGUGUUGCAGUUUCUGUUAUUUGAGGGCCAGUGAUGAGAUUGUGAACAAGUUAACCAAUACAGUAUUGAGUAUUAGAACUGUGAUACAAUUUCUGUUAUGAAUCGACUCUUGAACUUGUUUGAAACUGUUAUAAAAAGGUUAGCACUAAUAACAUCUUUGUUGACUGAUCAGUUACAAUUGAUACAUAAAUAGGUUCUAAAGGAUAAUGCUAGGGUAAAUGAGAAAACGACAAAGAUAGGCAGUAAAGGCUAAAAUUAGGCAAGAACUUAAGUUUGGGGGAGUAUAUGUGGGGUACAUAAUCUAAAAAAAAAGAAAGAAGGAGAAAAGGGUAUACAUGGUGACUAGUCUUGUUUCAGGGCCUUUGUUACUUGACCAAGUACGCCCGAAGGAAUUGUCUUUACACCUAGCGCCCUAAGGUCUUUCAUGGUCUGGGAGUCGUUGGUCGAAAGCUUACUAAGGGGUAACACUGUUAGCCUAAUGGGAUGAGACAUUGCACAGUCACUUAUGUAUAUUUUUAUAAAAAAAAUAAAAUAAAACGGGAAAAGAGCAAAAAAGUCCCCGUGAAAAAAAAAUUGAAAUAAAAGAAGUAUCAGUACCUUGCAUGAACCCUUGAAUUUGGUAUUGCGUAGUUUUAGUUUAAAUUGUAAUAUGCCUAUUUUUUAACAUUUUUAAGUUUGCACUUUAUGAGUCCUUCUAAGAAAUUACUUAUGUGUUGAAUUGGAGUCCAUAUCAGUUAUCAUAGAUGUUGAACACACACGCACGCUAUACCAGUGAUAAUUGUUCAAGAUUUGAGAAUUAAUACAAAAUUGUGGAUUAGUUUUGGUGAUUCAUAUUGUAAAGUUGCUUGUUUUCUCUGAGGCCGAUGGGAUAAUUUAGUUUCUGCGAUAUUGUUGGAUUCUAAGGCAUUUAGAUUUUAUUUAUUUCAUCUCAUUGCAUUUGCAUAGCAUGUAGUUUGUUUUGUGCUCGAGGACUAACACGAUUUAAGUUUGGGGGAUUUUGAUAAGUGGAUUUAAUAUACAC
rnacentral:lncRNA from 1 species